rnacentral:snoRNA from 1 species
AGCCUUCUGAUGCUUGUCAUCAGCUGUGUUCUUGCACUGACUGUAUAGAAAAAGUUGGCAAAGUAAACCUACCCCAUAUAUACCUCAGCCCAGGUCCUGUAACUGGUCUGUAUUGUGACUGUGGAGACAUGG